ACCAUUUCUAUAAAGACAAGUUCUUUGUUGUUGUUUUUUCCUGUAUUUUUUCAUUGUCUUAGCUCCACAAAUGAAAUUCCUGUCACCUCCAUUGUAUUGGAGUUGAAGCAGGAUUCUCAAAUCACAAAUUUCGAAGCCUGGGCAAUAAAACCAUAGGCAUCAAGACACUACCAGAGAUUUUGGAACCCAGCUGCAAGGAUUUGCUGCCAUUCUGCCACAAGAGCAGCAGUGAGGUUGGGGACUGAUGUUGGGUGAUGAGGCCUGGCUUACAGUCGCUGAUGCAGUUCAUCCCAAAAGUGUUGAGGUCAGGGAUCUGUGCUGGCGAGUCAAGUUGUCCCAUAACCCUCCAAUCAUUUCAUUAUGGACUUCACUUUGUGCAGGGUUUACUGUUUUAGUUCGGUCUCAUUGCUCUCAUCAACCUCGUCUCCAGCAGCAGCAGGCAGCUGUUUAGAGUGAAAGGGCUCUGAUAAACCCAUGUAUGCUACCUGUCCAGCAAAACAUUUAGAAUACACAGUUUGCAACUAGCUGGUGAACAUAGUGGAGCACUUUGCAAAAAAGGAGCCAGAUAAUUCCCUCUGGAGUUGGUGGAGACCAAAAACAGAGUUAAAAUGAGAAUAAAUAUUGGACAUACAUGUGUCACAAGGACAUAAAAACAACUCUAAAUGAAUAUUAAUUAUUCUGUCUGCUGGAUGAGUAAAUAGGUAACUUGCUAGAACAUUUACUAUAUCAACUUUUAUAAGGUGAUAAUUUGUCAGUGUUGUGUUUCUAGCCUUGUUGAUUCGCUGCCCUUAAGUGGAAAUCUAAAACAAUUAAUGCAGGUUUAAUGUCACACCAGAAAAUGUUAGACAAAUAAAGUAGUAAGUAAAAAGAGGAAGUUAACUUAACUUUGGUUGACUUGAAGACACCAUAAAAUCUGCAAGGAGUGUGCGAGAAAGACAAAGCUAAACAGUGAGGAGAACAAAGUGUGUUAAAUUAGGAACACAGCUUCCUUUUAAACCUUAACAGAGUGAGGAAAAGAACAUAAAUGUGUGUGAAACAACAAUACACCCAAGGUUGAGUGUAUGCAAAAUUAUACUAUUUUGACAUGCAUUAAACAGAUUAGAACAGAA